rnacentral:rRNA from 1 species
UGAGGAAUAUUGGUCAAUGGGCGAGAGCCUGAACCAGCCAAGUAGCGUGAAGGAUGACUGCCCUAUGGGUUGUAAACUUCUUUUAUAUGGGAAUAAAGUGCAGUAUGUAUACUGUUUUGUAUGUACCAUACGAAUAAGGAUCGGCUAACUCCGUGCCAGCAGCCGCGGUAAUACGGAGGAUCCGAGCGUUAUCCGGAUUUAUUGGGUUUAAAGGGAGCGUAGGCGGAUUAUUAAGUCAGUUGUGAAAGUUUGCGGCUCAACCGUAAAAUUGCAGUUGAUACUGGUAGUCUUGAGUGCAGCAGAGGUAGGCGGAAUUCGUGGUGUAGCGGUGAAAUGCUUAGAUAUCACGAAGAACUCCGAUUGCGAAGGCAGCUUACUGGACUGUAACUGACGCUGAUGC